rnacentral:rRNA from 1 species
AGUGAACGCUGGCGGUAGGCCUAACACAUGCAAGUCGAACGAGUGGCGGACGGGUGAGGAAUACAUCGGAAUCUACCCUGUCGAGGGGGAUAACGUAGGGAAACUGACGCUAAUACCGCAUACGAUCGAAUGAGCCGAUGUCGGAUUAGCUAGUUGGGGGGGUAAAGGCCCACCAAGGCGACGAUCCGUAGCUGGUCUGAGAGGAUGAUCAGCCACACUGGAACUGAGACACGGUCCAGACUCCUACGGGAGGCAGCAGUGGGGAAUAUUGGACAAUGGGCGCAAGCCUGAUACAGCCAUGCCGCGUGGAUGAAGAAGGCCUUCGGGUUGUAAAGCCCUUUUGUUGGGGAAGCGGUACCCGAAGAAUAAGCACCGGCUAACUUCGUGCCAGCAGCCGCGGUAAUUC